AAACCAAAAAAAAAAUAAAAAAAAAUAAAAAAAACAAUAAAAAAAAAAAAAAAAAAAAAAAAAAAAAAAAAAAAAAAAAAAAAAAAAAAAAAAAAAAAAAAAAAAAAAAAAAAAAAAAAAAAAAAAAAAAAAAAAAAAAAAAAAAAAAAAGAGAGAA